GUCGUAACAAGGUUUCCGUAGGUGAACCUGCGGAAGGAUCAUUGUCGAAACCCCAAAGAGCAGACUGCGCGCAUGUUCAUGUCGGGGCACAAUCAAUCAUGAUAAGCGAUCUCGCUGCCUAUUGUUGUUGCCUCACACACAACCAACCCACGGCGUGUUAUUGCGUCAAGGAUCACAAAUGCAGAGUGCAACCCCCGUAGGUCACCCGUUUGUGGUGUGUCCUGUGGGUGGGAGUUCAAUGUGCUCUUGAUAUUUAACAUGAUAAAAUGACUCUCGGCAACGGAUAUCUCGGCUCUCGCAUCGAUGAAGAACGUAGCAAAAUGCGAUACUUGGUGUGAAUUGCAGAAUCCCGUGAACCAUCGAGUCUUUGAACGCAAGUUGCGCCCGAAGCCAUCCGGCCAAAGGCACGUCUGCCUGGGCGUCAUGCAUCAUGCCUUCUUGUCUCCUUCCCGACUUGUCGAUAGGAGAUGUGAUGAGGUACAUUUUGGUCUCCCGUGCGCUCUGUCCGUGCGGAUGGCUCAAAUUGGAUGGAUCCCUCUGGUUGACGCACGUCACGAUCAUUGGUGGUUGUUUACUUGUCACAAGUGUGUUCGUGCAUUGUUGUGUCGUCCUGAUUGAGAAUCCGAACAAACCCAUUGGCAUGCAUCUCUUGCCAGCAUCUGCGACCCCAGU
rnacentral:misc_RNA from 1 species